AGCGAACGCUGGCGGCAGGCUUAACACAUGCAAGUCGAGCGAGUGAAUCUCCUUCGGGAGUGAAGCUAGCGGCGGACGGGUGAGUAACACGUGGGCAACCUGCCUCAUAGAGGGGAAUAGCCUUUCGAAAGGAAGAUUAAUACCGCAUAAGAUUGUAGCUUCGCAUGAAGUAGCAAUUAAAGGAGCAAUCCGCUAUGAGAUGGGCCCGCGGCGCAUUAGCUAGUUGGUGAGGUAACGGCUCACCAAGGCGACGAUGCGUAGCCGACCUGAGAGGGUGAUCGGCAACAUUGGGACUGAGACACGGCCCAGACUCCUACGGGAGGCAGCAGUGGGGAAUAUUGCACAAUGGGGGAAACCCUGAUGCAGCAACGCCGCGUGAGUGAUGACGGCCUUCGGGUUGUAAAGCUCUGUCUUCAGGGACGAUAAUGACGGUACCUGAGGAGGAAGCCACGGCUAACUACGUGCCAGCCGCCGCAGUAA
rnacentral:rRNA from 1 species